UACGAAGGGGGCUAGCGUUGCUCGGAAUCACUGGGCGUAAAGCGCACGUAGGCGGAUGUGUCAGUCAGGGGUGAAAUCCCGGAGCUCAACUUCGGAACUGCCUUUGAUACAGCACGUCUUGAGUCCGGAAGAGGUGGGUGGAAUUCCUAGUGUAGAGGUGAAAUUCGUAGAUAUUAGGAAGAACACCGGUGGCGAAGGCGGCCCACUGGUCCGGUACUGACGCUGAGGUGCGAAAGCGUGGGGAGCAAACAGG
rnacentral:rRNA from 1 species